AUGUUCCAGGCUUCUCGGGCACCAGGAAUGAUAGGUGACAACUGCUGGAACCCUGUGGUAUUCAUGUAUGAGCAUUUGGGAAAUAUGAGGAGCAUAAAAAGUCACAGAGAUCAUUUGAAAACAAGAAAAACUGAAAACACUACUGGAAAAAGUUUGGACAUUUUAUUGACAUUGUAGGUAUUUGCAACUAUUACACUGUGUGUAAUUACUUGAUAGUGCCUACACUAAGUGGUGCUGCAUAAAGAUGAUAAGAGUACACAAGUGAGAUGCCAUGCUGAGUUCUCAAAUGAGGAAACAAAUUUUCUUUUAUAUCUACUUAUUAGUUCAGUUAUUUAAGCAAAGGCAACAGUUUGGUGAAAAGAUUUGGACUUUAUAAUAUCUGUCUGCCAAGGAGUUAUAGAUAUUUAUGGUAAAGUAAUAAAAGCAUGGACCAUAAAACUGAAAGGAAUCCUAGAGUUUAUUUGGUCCUUCUCUCUCACAUUACAGAUUAGACAACUGGGACUGGGCACAAAUAGUGUUUGGUUUUACCUCAACACUACUGCAUCAACACUACAUACACAGUACUAGUUUGCUAAUAUCAUUUCUAUUUGUGUAACCUAGUUACUAAAAGGUAUCUCAUUUAUUUUAAAUUGUUUGAUCUUUCCCAUCUAAUAGGGGAAAGUAGAUGUGUGUCCAGGGCUCCAGCUGGGUUUUGUAGGCAGCAUUACAGGAUCAUGAAAGAAUCUUGGGCACUUCUGGGGAGGCUGCACAGUAGAUAUGACAUCAGCACAGUUAGCCUUGGAGAGCAAACAAGAAUAUUCCAGAUGGACAAGGAGGCAAAUGAGAGCUUUCCGUGUAUGGUCCUGAUAUAAUCUAUUGGGACACUUUUGAAAGCAGAAGGUUUGAAAUAGAUGUAUUUUAAGUGUGUGUGUUGGAACAGUGGGGAUUUUCCUUGAUGGCAUGAGAAACUAGGUCAAGGUCAGAAGUUGUUAGACACAAAUGAAAUCAACAAAUGUAUGUAUCUAUUAACAUCUAAUUAUGACUGCCUGGCAGGUCAGCCUCUAAGACUAAGGGCUUGUUUGAAAAUAAGAAUCAGGAUUUGCAGUUGGUAGAUUUCUUAAUGUGCAAAAUCAUAUAGUUAAAAAUUAAAUUUCAUUGAAAUAUUUCAGUAAAUAUAUGUUAAUUAACCUAAUAAAAUUUCACUAAAAUAGAACUGUCUAAGAAAAUGGUAUUAGGUGGUCAUUGUAGACAUGAGAAUCUUCCUGAUCUGGAACCAGAAUAUAUAGGGUCACCC
rnacentral:lncRNA from 1 species